rnacentral:rRNA from 1 species
CCUACGGGAGGCAGCAGUGAGGAAUAUUGGUCAAUGGACGAGAGUCUGAACCAGCCAAGUAGCGUGAAGGAUGACUGCCCUAUGGGUUGUAAACUUCUUUUAUAUGGGAAUAAAAUGUUCCAAGUGUGGGAUUUUAUAUGUACCAUAGGAAUAAGGAUCGGCUAACUCCGUGCCAGCAGCCGCGGUAAUAAGGAGGAUCCGAGCGUUAUCCGGAUUUAUUGGGUUUAAAGGGAGCGUAGGUGGAUUGUUAAGUCAGUUGGGAAAGUUUUCGGCUCAACCGUAAAAUUGCAGUUGAAACUGGCAGUCUUGAGUACAGUAGAGGUGGGCGGAAUUCGUGGUGUAGCGGUGAAAUGCUUAGAUAUCACGAAGAACUCCGAUUGCGAAGGCAGUUCACUGGACUGCAACUGACACUGAGGCUCGAAAGUGUGGGUAUCAAACAGGAUUAGAUACCCCUGUAGUC